rnacentral:rRNA from 1 species
UACGGAGGGUGCAAGCGUUAUCCGGAUUCACUGGGCGUAAAGGGUGCGUAGGUGGCGGGGUAAGUUUGAUGUGAAAGCUCAGGGCUUAACCCUGAAAUGGCAUUGAAUACUACUUUGCUGGAGGUUUGGAGGGGGGACUGGAAUUCUUGGUGUAGCAGUGAAAUGCGUAGAUAUCAAGAGGAACACCAGUGGCGAAGGCGAGUCCCUGGACAACACCUGACACUGAGGCACGAAAGCUAGGGGAGCAAACAGG